AAUGGCAAUCGCUACGGUAUUAACCGCUGAAAACUUUGGCAUGCUUUCGGUAAGGACACUUUUAUUGACUUCAAAAGUGACAUUUUCCUAUAUAAAUUUUUUAGCAAGUGGUAGCACUUACCGCUAUAAAUGAUCAUGAUCGCCAUUUUUCUUAUUAGCGCUUACAAGCGCUAUUUUCGGCCAAACGUCCCCCACUGUUGUCAGAAGAAAAAGUAAACAAAUAUUACUUUUCUCUAUGAAACAAAUUGAUUGUUUGUUGAGGAAAAGUGAAUAUUGAAUUUAAUUUCUUUCGGAUCAACAGCUAUGGCUCAUGUUUUAGUAUUAGAUUCGACUAGCGAAGAUACAUUUUUCUGUGGUUCAUGUAAAGUUGUGUUCAAUUCGUUGACACUAUUUCUAGCCCAUAAGAAUAACCAAUGUAAAAAACAGUCUCAUGAUAAUGCUGAAGAGCCCACCAAAAGCAUAUCUGAAUACCAGCCGCUUAGUGCUUGUUCUGAACAAAUUCUUACACAAAUUGAACUCAAUGAAAACCUAAGUCCCAAAAUAAAUAAAGAUAAAUGUAAGAAGGAAAAUACAGUAGAUUUAGACAGUCAUCCAAAAAUGCAUGAGAAACCUCAUCAGUGUGUUAUUUGUGGUCGAUGUUUUAUACAGAAUUCCCACUUACAAAGUCAUGUUCUGACUCACAAAGUUUGGCCGGAUGGUAUAAGUGAAACAACAGCUAAGACAACUGGUGAGGACCUAUUAAGUUAUUCAUGUAUGUAUUGUGAUUCAACCUUACCUACUUAUAGCCAAUACAGGAUACACCUUAAGAAGCAUAUGUGUUUAAAAAAAUAUAAGUGUAUACAAAAUCAAUGCAACUGUUUUUAUGAUACAGUUGAAUCUUUAAUGCAUCAUGUAUCUAGUGCUCACAAAACAGUAACAUACAGGUGUCAUAAAUGUAAUAAUGCAUUUGAUUCAUUGGAAGAGAUUGCUUUCCACUAUGAAAGUAAUGACUAUAAGUGUAACAAUCCACCAAGUCCAACUGAAUUAUUUAAGUGUUCCCAGUGUGAUGCAAUGUUUACAAAAGCAGAGAAACUUUCGUUACACAUGCUCACAGAGAACCAUAAUAAGGUCUGUAUUCAUUGCAACAAGACAUUUUCAAGUGAUAAAAGAUUACGUCUACACCUUCAGGUGCACAGAAAAUUAAAACCAUUUAAAUGUACUAUUUGUAGUCAAAGUUUUCGCAUGAAAAAGUAUUUAACAACACAUUUACUAAAACAUGGAGAGAAAAAUUAUGAAUGCAAAGUCUGUAAAGGUCUUUUUAAGAGAAAAGAUUCCUUAAAUAGACAUAUGAACACACAUCAACAACGAAAAAUGUACAAAUGCCCCUUUACAGAUACAUUCAAUUGCAAAAAGGAGUUUAGCAGAAGUGACAAACUUAAAUCGCAUAUAAAAUUUCAUACAAACAAAAUGACAGGUCACAACAACCAAAAGGCACAAUGUGCUGCUGAUAGUGUAGAGAUUUGUAUAGUUCCAUUAGACAAUAAGAACAAAGAAUAAUUGAAGAUUUAUCCUAGAGAUCCAUUAUAAUUUUACAGAGUAGAAUAAAAGAAAGAAAUAUUUAUUACGAUGAAUAUCACAAAAGGACAAAAAGGGAAAUUUGAAGAAAAAAAAGACAGAAAUAGCACAUAAAACAUUAUAAAGAAAGAAAAUAAUUAACUGAGCUGUGCCACCCUGUCACAAUAGUGAUGCCCAUUGCAAUGGAACCCCACUCAGCUGUGACCCACGGUGAGGAAGGUCACGAUGCUGGUUUUCAGUUUGCCCCAUGCUGAGUCAUGGACUCUUAUCUAAACUACAUAAAAUAUACAUACAUAAGUAAUAAUAAUGCACAACAAAUAAAUGUUGAAUAUACAGUAAAUAAAAGAAGCUCUUAUUAAAUAAUAAUAAUAAUUUGAACAAAGCUUUGUGUAUGUGUACAUAAUAAUAAUAAACUUGUAAUGUAAAUAAGUGUUUGUAUAUCUAUUAUCUGAGUACUUACUUAGUAAUGAUUAAGGAUAUUUUUCCCAUCUUCAAAUUAUGAAUAACUCAAUACCGACGAAGCACCUGUGUGGUUUCAUCCUUCAACGCACGCCAAUUCAGAGUUACAGAUCAAGUCU